rnacentral:lncRNA from 1 species
UGUGGUCUUUCUUGAGUCUCUUUCUUCUUUUUCAAAUCUCUCUUUCUUUUUCAAGAUCUUUGUAUCUAAGAGUUCAUGAAAUCUAAAGAAUGGUAUAUAUAUAAUUUCUUAUGUUAGACAAUGCUAAAAUAAUCUCUUCAUCAUUCUGUUAAAUUAUUUGUGCUUUUUUCAUAAAUUAUGCUAUAUAAAAGUGGGAAGACUCAAAAGAUAAUAUUAC